GAUGAACGCUGGCGGCGUGCCUAAUACAUGCAAGUCGAACGCUGAAGGCGGAUCUUGCUCUUCUGGAUGAGUUGCGAACGGGUGAGUAACGCGUAGGUAACCUGCCUGUUAGCGGGGGAUAACUAUUGGAAACGAUAGCUAAUACCGCAUGACAACAGUUAUUGCAUGAUAACUGUUUAAAAGGGGCAACUGCUCCACUACCAGAUGUACCUGCGUUGUAUUAGCUAUUUGGUGUGGUAACGGCUCACCAAGGCGACGAUGCAUAUACGACCUGGGAGGGUGGUCGGCCGCACUGGGAAUGGGACAGGGACCAGAGGACUAAGGGAGGCAGCAGUAGGGAAUCGUAGGCAAUGGACGGAAGUCUGACCGAGGAACGCCGAGUGAGUGAAGAAGGUUUUCGGAUCGGAAAGCUCUGUUGUAAGAGAAGAACGAGUGUGAGAGUGGAAAGUUCACACUGUGACGGUAACUUAAGAGAAAGGAACGGCUAACUACGUG
rnacentral:rRNA from 1 species